AUCAUUAUUGACAACCGAGAGUAACGAAAAAGCAUCUUAAACCGUCCCUGCCUUCAACAAAGAUAAGACGUCGUACGCGCUGCUCGAAAUUAGUAUUCUAUAGUGAAUAUUGAAAAUGAAAUUUUUGAUCGUGCUAUUAACAAUCGCGAUGAUGACGUUGACCAUCGUGUUCUCGUCAUCACUGGACAAAAAGCAAACCGAGUCGACUGUCGCUAAAGAAUCAGUAACAGUGGAACCGUUCAAUAUUAUAACAAUGCCGCAAUUUCGAUGUCCUUCUGGUCAACAACGUGAUUCAAAAGGAAGGUGUCGAUUAGCAUUAGGAAAUAGUCAGGAAUAAUCGUGAAGAGAAGAUGAUUCAACGAAUAUGUUACUUUAACAAGUGAUGUCAUUUGGAAGUUACAACAACGAUGAGGAAGAAAUGACCAUUGUUAUCUAUCUAUUCAACAGUAAAGAAAGAGGUUUCUCUAUCAAUGGAUUCACAAUAAAUUGACAAUUAUUAUUAAAUGCUCGAGGAUAUCAACAUUUCAGCAAUGAUUUCAGUUAAAGCUAGAGCGAGGUGUAGUUACAAAAUAUCGUAGUAGCGACAGAAUUGUGAAAAUAUUUUAUAUAUUAAUAAAAAAUUCCAAUAAACGUA